rnacentral:misc_RNA from 1 species
UACGUAAGGCGCAAGCGUUAUCCGGAAUUAUUGGGCGUAAAGAGCUCGUAGGCGGUUCAGUAAGUCGGGUGUGAAAGCUCCGAGCUCAACUCGGAGAGGCCACCCGAUACUGCUGUGACUAGAAUCCAGUAGGGGAGCGUGGAACUCCUGGUGUAGCGGUGAAAUGCGCAGAUAUCAGGAAGAACACCAGCGGCGAAGGCGGCGCUCUGGGCUGAGAUUGACGCUGAGGAGCGAAAGUGUGGGUAGCAAACAGG